rnacentral:rRNA from 1 species
AUUGAACGCUGGCGGCAUGCUUUACACAUGCAAGUCGAACGGGGUGAGGGGCUUGCUCCUCAUCUAGUGGCGAACGGGUGAGUAAUGCAUCGGAACGUACCUUCAAGUGGGGGAUAACGCACCGAAAGGUGUGCUAAUACCGCAUAUCCUGUGAGCAGGAAAGCAGGGGAUUUUAGGACCUUGUGCUUGGAGAGCGGCCGAUGUUGGAUUAGCUAGUUGGUGGGGUAAAGGCCCCCCAAGGCAACGAUCCGUAGCGGGUUUGAGAGGAUGAUUCGCCACACUGGGAAUGAGACACGGCCCCGACUCCUACGGGAGGCAGCAGUGGGGAAUUUUGGACAAUGGGGGCAACCCUGAUCCAGCCAUGCCGCGUGAGUGAAGAAGGCCUUCGGGUUGUAAAGCUUUUUUGUCCGGGAGCAAAUCCUGGUGGGUAAUACCCGCCGGGGAUGAGAGUACCGGAAGAAUAAGCACCGGCUAACUACGUG